CAUAUCUAUCCCAUUCUCAAGUAAAUGAGCCUUAAUCUCAUCCAUGUCCAUUACAUCCUCAUCAUCUAAAUCUACCUGAUCCUCCUGCAUACCAUGGACCGCUGCCAGCCCUUGAUCCGCAUCAAUAGGAUCCAAGAUUACUUCCGUUCCAUCAGCCUGAGCUUUGUCCAGCUCACGAACUUCCUCACGAACAUCUCGUUGAAGCUGUUGCUCUCUAGCCUAUCCUGAAGAGGGUCAAAUUUUUCCACUUUGAGCGCCAAGCCUUGUAUCCUCUCUCCACGCAGGUCUAUAACGAGAAGCUUCCCCAUCUCCUCUAUAUUUUCCACAGUUAUUGUAUGCUCUCUUACUUCCUCUCUCUGACACCUUCAUCCAUUU
rnacentral:lncRNA from 1 species